AUGUGCUACAUGAAUGAAAAUGGUAUUAGUGAGGAGGUUGCUUAUGAAUACACUCAGGGUUUGCUCAAUGAAACUUGCAAAAAAUUGAACAGAGAUAGAGUUGUUGAUUCACCUUUCCCUAAAACUUUUACUAAAACAACAAUAAACCUUGCUAAAACCGCUCACUAUGUUUAUCAAAAUGGAGAUGGGUAUGGAGUUCCAGAUUCCAUAACAAAGAAUCGAGUACGCUCUUUGAUAAUUGAACCCAUUUCCCUCAUUGAAAACCAUGCAUGA